GGGGCCGUAGGGUAGUUUGGUAUCCUACCAGCUUGGGGUGCUGGCGACCUGAGUUCAAAUCUCGGCGGCCCCA
rnacentral:tRNA from 2 species